GACGAACGCUGGCGGCGUGCUUAACACAUGCAAGUCGAGCGAGCGGCGGACGGGUGAGUAAUGUAUGGGGAUCUGCCCGAUAGAGGGGGAUAACUACUGGAAACGGUGGCUAAUACCGCAUACUAUCGGAUGAACCCCUAUGGGAUUAGCUAGUAGGUGGGGUAAAGGCUCACCUAGGCGACGAUCUCUAGCUGGUCUGAGAGGAUGAUCAGCCACACUGGGACUGAGACACGGCCCAGACUCCUACGGGAGGCAGCAGUGGGGAAUAUUGCACAAUGGGCGCAAGCCUGAUGCAGCCAUGCCGCGUGUAUGAAGAAGGCCUUAGGGUUGUAAAGUACUUUCAGCGGGGAGGCGUUACCCGCAGAAGAAGCACCGGCUAACUCCGUGCCAGCAGCCGCGGUAAUAC
rnacentral:rRNA from 1 species